rnacentral:rRNA from 1 species
AGUGAACGCUGGCGGUAGGCCUAACACAUGCAAGUCGAACGGCAGCACAGUAAGAGCUUGCUCUUACGGGUGGCGAGUGGCGGACGGGUGAGGAAUACAUCGGAAUCUACUUUUUCGUGGGGGAUAACGUAGGGAAACUUACGCUAAUACCGCAUACGACCUACGGGUGAAAGCAGGGGAUCUUCGGACCUUGCGCGAUUGAAUGAGCCGAUGUCGGAUUAGCUAGUUGGCGGGGUAAAGGCCCACCAAGGCGACGAUCCGUAGCUGGUCUGAGAGGAUGAUCAGCCACACUGGAACUGAGACACGGUCCAGACUCCUACGGGAGGAAGCAGUGGGGAAUAUUGGACAAUGGGCGCAAGCCUGAUCCAGCCAUACCGCGUGGGUGAAGAAGGACUUCGGGUUGUAAAGCCCUUUUGUUGGGAAAGAAAAGCAGCAGGUUAAUACCCCGCUGUUCUGACGGUACCCAAAGAAUAAGCACCGGCUAACUUCGUG